rnacentral:lncRNA from 1 species
UUAAUGAGCAAUGCUAAUUGGUACGACGGAUGCAAUCAACGAAACACAAGAAUUGAUGACAUGUAAUGCUAUUAGUGGUGGGUCAAAGUGUGAGCUCCCUUAUGUUAUGGAAAUCAUGGGCAGAUUGGUUUUGCAAUUGUGAUUAAUAUAACCUUCUUGCUUUUCGUUAUUGCUCUAUGUCGUAACAAACAUCAUUACGC